rnacentral:lncRNA from 1 species
CUGUCAUGUAUGAAUCACAUACUGGAAACAGUAUAAGAAAUCUGCUGUUUUCUCUCUCCAUUAUGAACUUCUAAUUACUAAAACGACAUUAAACCCUGGAAUUUAUGAAUAUUUGAAACACUUGGAUUUUCUGAAACAAAUAUGAAAUUCACAAAAGGGAUAAGGAAGUUGUUAAUUUUGCAAGGUACUCCAGAUGUUUAGGCUUCAAGGCAUCAUUGGCAGAUUACUCCUGAAGAAAGACAAGUUCAGGACAAGAACAUAGAUGGCGCUUUUGCCCUGUUGACCCCUUUGCCACCUGCUCCCUCCAGGAGAGAACCUUGGUGGUGAAACAGCUAAUGGUUCACAUCCUUUGGCCCACCGUGAUGUGCUUCAGAAAACUACUCAUUUGAGCGACAUAUAAAUUACUAAUGAUGUAUGAAUUAUGAUUACAAUCAUUUGAAACAUGGAUAGAAGUGUAACCAAGCACCAGAAACGCCUGUAGAAAAUCAAAGAUAGUUUUGUUAUGAAGUGGCCCUGUGGAUAGGGCAUUUCCUUUUUCAAAAUGCUUCUUGUUUCAUACAUCUCCUUUUGGGGAAAGUAUUGCUACUAUUCAUAGUGAACUGGCUAGACAAACCACUGCACGUGCAUGCAAAGACACACACAAAGACACACCCACACACAGUUCAAUUCAAUCGAAUGGUAGGUGUUUCCCCUACGUGUCUCCAGACAAUUCGUACUUUUACACACAUUUGAAAGUUUUAACAUUAUUUUUUGGUCCACAAGAGGUUUUUUUUUUUUUUUUUCCUUUUGAACACAAGUAGCCUGGCAGCAAAUAUCUAAAAAUUAUGCAACAGACAUAGUUUUUAUUCCAUGUGUGGAGCAUCUGCCAGAAACUCCAGAGCAGGAGGAGGGGUGAUGCUUUGUGUUUCAUCUCAAGAAGCAGGAGCCGCCUUCCAGUUUUGGGUAACCCCUGGCCCAGCAUGGUGGUGGGGAUGAAAAGCUGGGGAGGUGAAGCUCUAGCACUGACCAGAGCAAGGAAAGGGAAAAAUUCACAUACGAAAUCUUUUGAAAAUGCUGUUGUUGAAAAUAUUACUAUUGUUUUGUAUUCCACUAUGUGAUCCUAGGUUAUGAGUAAAACAAUGGAUAACUCAUGGCCCCCAACUCCCAUGAAUUAGUGAAAAACGUUGAUAUCUUUUUCAACCUAAAAUUCAAGAUGCAGCAUAUUAUAUGAACAUUGCUCUACUAAUAAAGAUAAAAAUUGCUA